GGUGGCGUGGCCGAGUGGUCAGGCAGCGGACUGCAAAUCCGUUUACGUCGGUUCAAUUCCGGCCGCCACCU
rnacentral:tRNA from 2 species